rnacentral:rRNA from 1 species
GAAAUGCGAUACGUAAUGCGAAUUGCAGAACUUCGUGAAUCAUCAAAAUUUUGAACGCACAUUGCGCUACUGAGUAAUCUCAGUAGCAUGCUUAUCUGAGUGUCUCUAAACCCCACUCAGCCGAUGCUGCACUUAACUGUGCUAGCAACGCGCUGGACUGUGAUGGUGUUUGGCAACGAACUCCGUUCAAGUUCAUAGGUUUGUUGUUGACGCCCUUGCUGGCCGAACGCGAAUCGCAACUAGAUUUGGUAGGUGCACUUAUGUGUAUUUUGAAUYUGGCUUGUGAGUUGCCGAGGCUUACGAGAGCAUYUCCAGCGAAUUGGGCUACCAGCACUUGCUGGCCUGCCCGGAAUGAAUGUACCUCAUCUAUGGAUCUCAAAUUAAGUAAAACUACCCGCUGAAUUUAACCAUAUAAUUAACCGGAGGAAAAAAAACUAACAAGGAUUCCCCU